rnacentral:ncRNA from 1 species
CAGAGUAAGGGAAUACGCGUAAAGUGCAUGCCGUACGGGGAGUUGACGCAUGACGAAGGGGUUGCCCGCGGUGUAUUCCUUGCAUCCCGCUGU